CCUACGGGAGGCAGCAGUGAGGAAUAUUGGUCAAUGGACGAGAGUCUGAACCAGCCAAGUAGCGUGAAGGAUGACUGCCCUAUGGGUUGUAAACUUCUUUUAUAUGGGAAUAAAAUGUUCCACGUGUGGGAUUUUGUAUGUACCAUAUGAACAAGGAUCGGCUAACUCCGUGCCAGCAGCCGCGGUAAUACGGAGGAUCCGAGCGUUAUCCGGAUUUAUUGGGUUUAAAGGGAGCGUAGGUGGAUUGUUAAGUCAGUUGUGAAAGUUUGCGGCUCAACCGUAAAAUUGCAGUUGAAACUGGCAGUCUUGAGUACAGUAGAGGUGGGCGGAAUUCGUGGUGUAGCGGUGAAAUGCUUAGAUAUCACGAAGAACUCCGAUUGCGAAGGCAGUUCACUGGACUGCAACUGACACUGAGGCUCGAAAGUGUGGGUAUCAAACAGGAUUAGAUACCCGUGUAGUC
rnacentral:rRNA from 1 species